AUGGAGAGGAGCCCGGGAACUGUGCUGGGGCUGCUGUUGGUGCCGCUAUGCUCAGGGGUAAGAGGAAUGCCGGUGGAACAGAAUCCUCCAGCCCUGAGUCUUUAUGAAGGAGCUGAGUCUGGUCUGAGAUGCAAUUUUUCUACCACCAUGAAAGGUGUCCAGUGGUUUCAACAAAAUCACAGAGGCAGACUUAUCACUCUGUUUUACCUGGCUCAAGGAACAAAGGAGAAUGGAAGGUUAAAGUCAACAUUCAAUUCUAAGGAGCGCUACAGCACCCUGCACAUCAAGGAUGCACAGCUGGAGGACUCAGGCACUUACUUCUGUGCUGUUGAGG